AAAUAUAAAAUAGAGACCUUGAGUGCCAGCACGGUUCACCAGCCCAAAGACUUCAGCAGGUCCUUCCAACACCCCCAACCCCCGCCCUGAGUUCCAGCUGGGGUCGAGCCUCUCAGGAGUCCUCCGGGAACCUGGACGAAGGGAAGCAACUCCGGGGGCCCGGGCUCCCUGACCUCCAGGUCCUGCAGCUCGGGGGCGCGCGGGCCGGGGGUCCCGUGACCUGCGCGGGGCCGAGUGCGCCGCCUAAGCCGCGGACUUCCGCUUCCCCGCGCCGGCCCCGCGCUGCCAGCCCCCAGCCGCAGGGGAGCUCCGGGCCCCGGGGGCCGCCGCCUUUUGCGCUCCCCCGCGGGAGUGCGGGGCGGAAGGCUGGCCAGCGGCCGACGUGGGUGUUAAGCGGCUGCCCCGGCGGCGGAGGCAGAGCGGCGAGCCGGCGGCGGAGCCCGAGCAGCACGCGCGGCCAACUGUCCUGGCGGGAUAUGAGACACCCGUCAUAAGCUCUGGAGAGUUGCCUUCCACAGAGACCAGCAGAGGAGUGGGCCAACAUGAAGUCCAGUCCUGCCAUCCAAGCUGCCAUUGACCUCACAGCGGGGGCUGCAGGUGGUGUGGAAGGUGGUUGGAUUGGAGAAGCAGGCCAGGCUGAGGAGUUUUGUCUUCAUGGAUGGAACGUGUUUUUUUAAAGCUUGGGACUGGGUGGAAUCACCCAGGGAGAUAGCAUCUGAAAAGGGCUGCACAUGGAUUCCAGGACCUUCCACACAGAAGGGGUCAUGAAGAGGAGGGGGAAGUAAAGAAAUAAGCAGAAGAGAAACCAGGAGAGUGCGGGAUCGCAUGCUAGAGACUGACAGAAAGAACACUGUAGCGACUGUCACUCUUCCUGCUAGAGGGGGACACUUUCUCUGGGACAAGAUGGGAAGUUUAGGUCCCCUCCGACAUUCCCAGAGGAGGAUGCCUUAUGUUGAAGAUGGAGGUAGGAAGCAGCAACAUGAGGUCCUGGAGGAAGUCCUAUAGCCAAGAAGCCAUUCUGUUUCAUGUGGUCUCACCCCGUACCCUCCUCUCCAGUCCUGGUGAGGCAGGAGGGAGCUGCGUCUUCAUCCCACAGAACGAACGGUGCUUGCUUAUUACCUGGCAGGGAAUGGCCACCUUAGAGUUGAUGGAGCUGGGGCACCCACACCUGUCCUGUUUUGUUCAUCCCUCCUCGUGAUCUGUGAGAGCAGCAGAGCUCUCCCUGCUGUUCUGUUUUAAAGCUGGGGACUCCGAUUUGCAGAUACUGGCUUAGGACCCUAUUACUUGAGCUCCUAACUGAGCACAGGACCAAGUCCCCGUCCAGUACUCUUGCCGUAAGACCAGAGUCGGGGAACUGGACUGUGUUAGGGGUCAGGUCUAGAGGAAGACCUGAUCAGUAGAGGCAAUGAAAGGAAAGCCCUGCUUGGAAGAGCCUGCCGUGAAUUUCAGCAAUGAUACUGUAAAUAUUUGCAUGUCCUUAGCUUGAAUGCCUCCCCGAGUUCAGUUCUCCUUUGACCUUUGUCCACAUGGGGUCCUAACAGCAGGAGGGUUCAGGUACAUGUUUGUUGAAUGGGUGAUUCUUACCAAAUCCCAUCCUGUGCCCGCUGUGGUUUCAGUUCUGGGUCUAACGCCUCUCCUGCAGGUGCAGCCUGGGGCCCCGCGUGCCUCACUGGGCACCCAGGUAAGGGAGAGGACUCAGAGUCCACUGCAGGUGUGCUUUGACCUUGCUGUUGCACUAGAACAGCGUGCUCAUACUCAGGCUGCCGACUCUUAGGCUGAAGGGCUUCCACACCAAUUGAUGCCAUCUUUGUUCCCACAAACCUGGCUGUUCUGGCUGCUGGUCAGCAAAUUGAUGAAGGGUGCUCAAGGGAAAUGAAGCCUGGAUCUGCAGGCUGGCCGAAGGACUGCAGAAGCCACCUGAAGCUUUGGUCUUGACAGUCCGCUGAGUAGGUGUGAACCAUGUUGGACAGUUUGCAUUCGCUAGAAGCUGAGCACCAGCAGAGUUGCAUGUCGCCGGGUAAUGGCCUCAUACCCGAUUCUCUGAAAUGAGAAGCAAGUCUGGAACACAAGCAGGGUCUCCCUCCUGGAAGAAAGCCUCGCUCCCCACCAACUCUUCUGGAAGCAGACAGGCUUGGGCCCGCCCUCCGUCUGCCCAUGGCCCCGAUGCCAGGUCACCCGGGAACAGAAGGUUGGGGCUGAGAUUGGAGGUGGCCCUUGAUUUUCUCUUCCUGUCUGAUGUCCGUUUGUGUGACUGUUUAACGGAACCCCGGACAGUCGCAUGUGCUCAUGAUCUGCAGAACGCAGCCGCGGGUUCCUUCGCCUCUGCCUUUGCGGCCCUGGUGCUCUGUCCCACUGAGCUCGUCAAGUGCCGGCUGCAGACCAUGUAUGAGAUGGAGUCGUCAGGGAAGAUC